UUUUCUGCUCCCCAUUGUCACGACUGGAACAGGAAUCAACCAGGUAAAUGAGGCUAGACGUCUUUAUUUGCAGAAUGGAUCGGGAACCAGAGAUACGGUGAGUAGACCGAAUGAUGACAGUCGUGAAUUACUUCGCUUGUCGGUGAUCUGAGCCUCUCCUGCCAGGGAAGCGGAUGGUGAACAGAAGCACACGGUAACUAGGUGGAGGAAGAUCAGGGAACAGGCUGUAUCUGGAACGGGAAAUCUCAGUGAACGUUUCGAAAGGAGUUAUACAAGCUUGGUUAUAAACCCAUCCUGUUUCUGGGGAAGGAGACCAGGAAGGUUAAUCAGAAGUGGGUAGCUGAAAUGGUGACUGCCUUGGGUCCAGUUCCAGAGGGCCCCCACAGAGAUGUUUUAAAGAUGUCUUGUCUUUAUGAGUAUCUACUAAAAGCUUUUUGUAGGUUUGCAACAACUUCACAGGGCACCCAGCCGGAGACCCCCCCCAGUGGACCCACAGUGACCCCCCCCUCCAUCUGAGGCCCAGGCCGGUGGACCCACAGUGACCCCCCCUCUAUCUGAGGCCCAGACCAGUGGACCCACAGUGAACUCCCCUCCAUCUUAGGCCCAGGCCAGUGAACCCACAAUGACAUCCCCUCCAUCUGAGACCCAGGCCAGUGGACCCACAGUGACCUCCCCUCCAUCUAAGGCCCAGGCCAGUGAACCCGCAGUGACCGCCACUACUUCUAAAGCCCAGGCCAGUGGACCCACAGUGACCUUCCCUCCAUCUGUGGCUCAGGCAAGUGAACCCACAGUGACCUCCACUCCAUAUGAGGCCCAGGCCAGUAAACCCACACUGACCUCUCCUCCUUCUGGGCCACUGGCCAGUGAACCCCCCCGUCUCAGUUCCAAG